rnacentral:lncRNA from 1 species
AUGGCCAACCCCUGGCACCCCACAGGGGCGCUGCCUGUCUCCUCUCCCCAAAGAAGAGUCGACUCAGCAGCCCCUUCCAGGUGGACAAUAAGUUCCCCGUGUCUUCCCACAAAUGCCUCUCCUACUCUCCCGGGGUCCCUUUGUGUAGAAGCAGCCGCUCUGUAUGUUCGUGUUGGUGCACCCUCACCCAGAGGGGAAAAGCAGCCCGAGUAUCUCAGCCUGACGCCUCUCAGACUGAAAGCAGCAGCCAUGGGAAGUUGUACGUUUCUUUUUCUGGACCACACAGGUCUGCACUGCAAGGCUCCUUUUGUUUUCUUUCCUAGGGCUCAGGAUGGACAAGGUAGCCCAGAGCUGGACCAACUGCCAAGAGAAGGAGUCCCUUCUGCCCUCUGCCCUCUCAACAAGCGACUCUUCACAGCUUCUCCUCUUCCCUUGGUGACAAUGACAGCCAGCGAUGGGCCAACAGCCUACUCCCAACCUGGCCUGGGUCUGGUGGCCCCAGCGUGAGAUCACCGUAGUGAGCAACCUGGUCUCCAUAGCAACCAGCUGUGACAUCACAAGGAACCCACAGACCCUGGAGCUGGAACAGAGGAAGCUUGAAUGCCUGAUUGGGGAAGAAAGCCUUUGCUGCCCCUCCUUAGGCCUCUCCUGUGAUAGGGGAAGAGGACAUAGAAACGCUGAGAGAGCCAGGGCUGCCGCUUCUCUGGAGGUUUGAGCUGGGUCUGCUCGAAAUCCUUCCCUUCCUCUCUUUGUCCCCUUUCUCCUCAUCCCUCAAAAAAUAUGUAUCUCAUUUUCCUCAACUGUAAAAUGGGGACAUUAGAAGCCGCCCUUGAGUGUUUAUUAUAUGCCAGGCACUAUUAUAAGCAUCUUGCAUGGAUUUUCUCAUUUACUUCAUAACAGCCCUAUAAAGUACUUUCUUCUUAGUAUUCCCCCUUCUGUAAGUGGAGGGAAAGGAAGCACAGCAGAAGGAUUGGAAUCAAGACAGCCUGGCUCCAGAGCCUGUUUUCAUAACUACGAGAGAAUGCACCAGAUUCCUUCUGAAUGCCGCCUGCCACGUGCGCGGCUACAACUCUAUUUCCAGCCAUGCUGUGGCAAGCAGUUCCGGGCGGGCUUCAGCUCCCUUUGCACCACCAGCACCUCGCCUCCUGUCAGCAUGAGGCGGUUUUCAUUUUCUGCCCAGGGGCUUCCGCAGCACCCCAACACAAGGCUGGCAGGAGCAGGCUCAGCGGGAGGACUUGUGGAGGGAAGUUGCUUCCACUGAGCCAGCCUCAACCUGGGGUGCACAGGCACCAUGGGGUGAAUGCUUCUGCCAGGCGGUCAUCUGGCCCACAAGGUCCCUCUGUGCACUGCUUGGAAGGUCCUGGCAGUGACCCAUGGCAUGACCUAAUAAUGCACCGUUAUCUUGGCUCUUCUGCUUUCUCUUUUUUCCCACUGGUAUUCGUCCCUCAUUUCUGGUCCCUAGAAUGACUUCCAAAAUAAAC